rnacentral:lncRNA from 1 species
UAACAACAUCACCCCAAACACCAGGCGCUUCGGAAAUGUUUGUUUUACAAAGCAGGGCAGGAGCCGCUACAAAAACAUUCCCAGUUUUUAAAAGGAAAAUAUCCCCUUGUCAACAAGCGAAAACAAAGUGAAUGUGCCCGUAUCCAAAGGAGAGAGCCCUGGGAAAUGCCCUUUUCCGUGCAGGAUGGCAGGGCUGCCAGGGCCGGGGGGGACAGUGGGGACCAAUACCCCGAUGGCAGAGGGGGGACCCGUGGCAGGUGUGGGAGCACUGGGGUGCAGUGGCCCCAGCCGAGCUCCUCGCUGGUCUUCUCAGUUAUAAAUAGAAAGGCAGUCAGUUAUUAUUAGAGCUUGUUGAGUGCAUCUGGAGGAACUGCAGGAAACUCUUCCAAAUGAGCCACUUUCCAGUUGAAGCAAAGCUCCUGGGGUCAGGUCUGGAGGAGAAUGUCAGCAGGACCACCCUGAGCCUUGGAGACCGGGCCAAGCACAAGGAGCUUUGCCUUUGCACUGGGUCACGGUGGUCCCAGCGUGGCUGGGGUCGGUGCCACCCUAGGGAUGCCCUGUCCUCACCCUGCCCUGUGCACCCCUGUUUCCCAUCCCUGUGAUAACAAGGCUGGGCAUCACCAGAGGAACUUGUCUUUUAUCUCCAGCACCUUCCCCAGGACCUCGGAGGACACAGCCAGCUCCUGCACCAUCACACCACCCCGAUGCGCGGCAGGAAGCUGUUCCCCACACUGAGUAGGUGGCACAAGGAGACCUUUUCAUCACAUCUUCUGCCCCGAGACCUCUGUGGGCUCGUGGCACAGAAAGCAGAAGCUGCACACCUAGAAACCCCAGAAGGUGGCUCAGUUCUCUCGGCUCCAGCAGAAGGAACACCAUCAGAGACAGCACUACUAAGGAUUCCUUCUUCUGCCGUGCUGCAAAUGGGACAUUUGAAUGUUGUCUCCUUUCCCAAAGGUGCUGUCAGGAUGAGAACUGCAAUGAGCAUAAAGCAUUUUAAGCCUGUGCAAGCUGUGUUAUGGGGCUCUUCCCAUUACUGCCCUUAAUUCUGCUGGAAGAUGGGUAUAAAAAGAAAUAAGUAAUGAUUCAAAGCAAAGAGUUCCAGGGAUGUCAAAGGGUGCCAACAGCAGCAGGUCUGUGCUCUCUACAGCCCCUCUGCCCCAGCUCAGCCACCCCAUCCCUCCCUCCAGCAGAGCCAGGGGGAUUUCUCCCAAGAAAACC